rnacentral:rRNA from 1 species
UACGAAGGGGGCUAGCGUUGCUCGGAAUCACUGGGCGUAAAGCGCACGUAGGCGGAUUGUUAAGUCAGGGGUGAAAUCCUGGAGCUCAACUCCAGAACUGCCUUUGAUACUGGCGAUCUUGAGUCCGGGAGAGGUGAGCGGAACUGCGAGUGUAGAGGUGAAAUUCGUAGAUAUUCGCAAGAACACCAGUGGCGAAGGCGGCUCACUGGCCCGGUACUGACGCUGAGGUGCGAAAGCGUGGGGAGCAAACAGG